GUGCUUGCUUAGGCAGCACAUACACUAAAAUUGGAACCAUACAGAGAUUAGCAUGGUCCCUGCACAAGGAUGACACCCAAAUUCAUGAAGUAUUCCAUAUUUUU
ensembl:snRNA U6 U6 spliceosomal RNA